CUCCGCAAUGCGCGAAAGCGUGACGGGGGAACCCCAAGUGCCGUUGGUCUUUGAUCGACGGCUUUUAGGGAGUCUAAGAAGCUCCCGGAAUAAGGGCUGGGCAAGUCGGGUGCCAGCCGCCGCGGUAAUACCCGCAGCCCGAGUGGUGGUCGCGAUUAUUGGGCCUAAAGCGCUCGUAGCCGGGUCAGCAAGUCCCUUGUGAAAUCGGGCGGCCUAACCGUUCGGCUUGCAAGGGAUACUGUUGGUCUUGAGGCCGGGAGACGUCUGAGGUACUCCGGGGGUAGCGGUAAAAUGCUGUAAUCCUCGGGGGACCACCAGUGGCGAAGGCGUCAGACGAGAACGGACCUGACGGUGAGGGGCGAAGGCUAGGGGAGCGAACGGGAUUAGAUACCCCGGUAGUCCUAGCUGUAAAGCAUGCGGGCCAGGUGUCUGGUGUUCCUCGAGAGCACCAAGUGCCGGAGGGAAGCCGUUAAGCCCGCCGCCUGGGAAGUACGGUCGCAAGGCUGAAACUUAAAGGAUGCGGGGGGGACA
rnacentral:rRNA from 1 species